AGCAAUUACCUAAUUUACCGGUUAAACCAGUAGUUUCACACUACGACUUCCUAGUUCCCAUGAAUCAGUUCCGGUCAUACUCGAUUCUCUCUACUCUCCUUCAGACCUGCACUUGCUUCUUUACUCAGCUAUUUGAUCAUCAUUUUGUUCUCUUUCCUUACGGGACUUUAUCGGUGUUGAAAUGAAGGGUGCGAAGGGAAAGGGCACAGUGAAGGACAAAAAAGAAGUGUUGAAGCCUGUAGACGACAAAAGGGUUGGAAAGCGGAAAGCGGCUGCUAAGGUUAGCAAAACUCAGACGAAAAAGGAAAAGUUGGCCAGCAAAGACCCUAACAAACCAAAGAAGCCCGCUAGUGCCUUUUUCGUGUUCAUGGAGGAGUUUAGGAAGACUUACAAACUAGAGAACCCUGACGUGAAAGGCGUAGCAGCAGUUGGGAAAGCUGGUGGAGAAAAGUGGAAGUCCCUUUCUAACGGGGAGAAAGCCCCAUAUGAAGCUAAAGCUGCCAAAAGGAAAUCCGAAUAUGAAAAGGUCAUGGCUGAUUACAACAAAAAAACAGGAAAGUAUCGCUGAUGAUGAUGACGAGGAGUCUGAUAAGUCAAAAUCUGAGGUGAAUGAUGACGUUAUGGAAGAUGAAGAUGAUGAGGACGAAGAUGAGGAUGAUGAUUGAGUUGAGGGUGCUGUCUAACUUCAGGAGUUACGGUAAAUCCAGGAUAUUGACUCUGGAUUUUGUAUGGUCAUACCUUAAGUUGUGUGUGGUUGCAUUUUGAUGUGGAAAGAAAUGCAGCCUUACCGCUGACUUGUUUCAUGUUAGGUUCACUUGUGUAUUUGUGAAGCAUGUGUUCUUUUAAGAUAUCAUGUAUGAAUGGUUCAUAACAAUAUCACCCUCUUUCAGUUUCCUCCAAGUUCAAAUAUAUUUGGAUGUUAAUCGUCA